rnacentral:rRNA from 1 species
GACAGGGGAUACAAGCGUUACUCGGAAUCACUGGGCGUAAAGCGUCUGUAGGCUUUCUAGACAGUCUGAGGUCAAAUGUCGGGGCCCAACCCCGUCAACGUCUUGGAUACUACUAGAAUUGAGCAAUGGAGAGGCACCUGGAAUGCCAUGUGUAGGAGUAAAAUCCGUAGAUAUAUGGUAGAACGCCAAAAGUGAAGACAGGGUGCUAGCCAUUCGCUGACGCUGAGAGACGAAAGCGUGGGGAGCAAAGCGG